AUUGAACGCUGGCGGCAUGCCUUACACAUGCAAGUCGAACGGUAACAGGUCUUCGGAUGCUGACGAGCGGCGAACGGGUGAGUAAUACAUCGGAGCGUACCCGAUCGUGGGGGAUAACGAAGCGAAAGCUUUGCUAAUACCGCAUAAGAUCUACGGAUGAAAGCAGGGGACCGCAAGGCCUUGCGCGAACGGAGCGGCCGAUGGCAGAUUAGGUAGUUGGUGGGAUAAAAGCUUACCAAGCCGACGAUCUGUAGCUGGUCUGAGAGGACGACCAGCCACACUGGGACUGAGACACGGCCCAGACUCCUACGGGAGGCAGCAGUGGGGAAUUUUGGACAAUGGGCGAAAGCCUGAUCCAGCCAUGCCGCGUGCAGGAUGAAGGCCUUCGGGUUGAAAACUGCUUUUGUACGGAACGAAAAGACUCUUUCUAAUAAAGAGGGUCCAUGACGGUACCGUAAGAAUAAGCACCGGCUAACUACGUGCCAGCCGCCGCGGUAACAC
rnacentral:rRNA from 1 species